rnacentral:rRNA from 1 species
UACAGGAUUCCCCUAGCUAGCGGCNCGCGAAGCGGGAAGAGCUCAAAUUUAUAAUCUGGCACCUUCGGUGUCCGAGUUGUAAUCUCUAGAAAUGUUUUCCGCGUUGGACCGCACACAAGUCUGUUGGAAUACAGCGGCAUAGUGGUGAGACCCCCGUAUAUGGUGCGGACGCCCAGCGCUUUGUGAUACAUUUUCGAAGAGUCGAGUUGUUUGGGAAUGCAGCUCAAAUUGGGUGGUAAAUUCCAUCUAAAGCUAAAUAUUGGCGAGAGACCGAUAGCGAACAAGUACCGUGAGGGAAAGAUGAAAAGCACUUUGGAAAGAGAGUUAACAGUACGUGAAAUUGUUGGAAGGGAAACGCUUGAAGUCAGACUUGCUUGCCGAGCAAUCGGUUUGCAGGCCAGCAUCAGUUUUCCGGGAUGGAUAAUGGUAGAGAGAAGGUAGCAGUUUCGGCUGUGUUAUAGCUCUCUGCUGGAUACAUCUUGGGGGACUGAGGAACGCAGUGUGCCUUUGGCGGGGGUUUCGACCUCUUCACACUUAGGAUGCUGGUGGAAUGGCUUUAAACGACCCGUCUGGAAAACACGGACCAA